UACGGGGGGGCAAGCGUGUUCGGAUUUACUGGGCGUAAAGGGCGCGUAGGCGGCCUGGCAAGUGGAAGGUGAAAUCCCUCGGCUUAACCGAGGAACUGCCUCCCAAACUGCUUGGCUUGAGACCAGGAGAGGUGAGUGGAAUUCCCAGUGUAGCGGUGAAAUGCGUAGAUAUUGGGAGGAACACCAGUGGCGAAGGCGGCUCACUGGACUGGUACUGACGCUGAGGCGCGAAAGCGUGGGGAGCAAACGGG
rnacentral:rRNA from 1 species